rnacentral:rRNA from 1 species
CGGGGUGAGUAAUGUCUGAGAAACUGCCUGAUGGAGGGGGAUAACUACUGGAAACGGUAGCUAAUACCGCAUAACGUCGCAAGACCAAAGAGGGGGACCUUCGGGCCUCUUGCCAUCGGAUGUGCCCAGAUGGGAUUAGCUAGUAGGUGGGGUAACGGCUCACCUAGGCGACGAUCCCUAGCUGGUCUGAGAGGAUGACCAGCCACACUGGAACUGAGACACGGUCCAG